rnacentral:rRNA from 1 species
AUCCUGUCUGAAUAUGGGGGGACCAUCCUCCAAGGCUAAAUACUCCUGACUGACCGAUAGUGAACCAGUACCGUGAGGGAAAGGCGAAAAGAACCCCGGCGAGGGGAGUGAAAAAGAACCUGAAACCGUGUACGUACAAGCAGUGGGAGCACGCUUCGGCGUGUGACUGCGUACCUUUUGUAUAAUGGGUCAGCGACUUAUAUUCUGUAGCAAGGUUAACCGAAUAGGGGAGCCGAAGGGAAACCGAGUCUUAACUGGGCGUUAAGUUGCAGGGUAUAGACCCGAAACCCGGUGAUCUAGCCAUGGGCAGGUUGAAGGUUGGGUAACACUAACUGGAGGACCGAACCGACUAAUGUUGAAAAAUUAGCGGAUGACUUGUGGCUGGGGGUGAAAGGCCAAUCAAACCGGGAGAUAGCUGGUUCUCCCCGAAAGCUAUUUAGGUAGCGCCUCGUGAAUUCAUCUCCGGGGGUAGAGCACUGUUUCGGCAAGGGGGUCAUCCCGACUUACCAACCCGAUGCAAACUGCGAAUACCGGAGAAUGUUAUCACGGGAGACACACGGCGGGUGCUAACGUCCGUCGUGAAGAGGGAAACAACCCAGACCGCCAGCUAAGGUCCCAAAGUCAUGGUUAAGUGGGAAACGAUGUGGGAAGGCCCAGACAGCCAGGAUGUUGGCUUAGAAGCAGCCAUCAUUUAAAGAAAGCGUAAUAGCUCACUGGUCGAGUCGGCCUGCGCGGAAGAUGUAACGGGGCUAAACCAUGCACCGAAGCUGCGGCAGCGACGCUUAUGCGUUGUUGGGUAGGGGAGCGUUCUGUAAGCCUGUGAAGGUGUGCUGUGAGGCAUGCUGGAGGUAUCAGAAGUGCGAAUGCUGACAUAAGUAACGAUAAAGCGGGUGAAAAGCCCGCUCGCCGGAAGACCAAGGGUUCCUGUCCAACGUUAAUCGGGGCAGGGUGAGUCGACCCCUAAGGCGAGGCCGAAAGGCGUAGUCGAUGGGAAACAGGUUAAUAUUCCUGUACUUGGUGUUACUGCGAAGGGGGGACGGAGAAGGCUAUGUUGGCCGGGCGACGGUUGUCCCGGUUUAAGCGUGUAGGCUGGUUUUCCAGGCAAAUCCGGAAAAUCAAGGCUGAGGCGUGAUGACGAGGCACUACGGUGCUGAAGCAACAAAUGCCCUGCUUCCAGGAAAAGCCUCUAAGCAUCAGGUAACAUCAAAUCGUACCCCAAACCGACACAGGUGGUCAGGUAGAGAAUACCAAGGCGCUUGAGAGAACUCGGGUGAAGGAACUAGGCAAAAUGGUGCCGUAACUUCGGGAGAAGGCACGCUGAUAUGUAGGUGAAGUCCCUCGCGGAUGGAGCUGAAAUCAGUCGAAGAUACCAGCUGGCUGCAACUGUUUAUUAAAAACACAGCACUGUGCAAACACGAAAGUGGACGUAUACGGUGUGACGCCUGCCCGGUGCCGGAAGGUUAAUUGAUGGGGUUAGCGGUAAGGCGAAGCUCUUGAUCGAAGCCCCGGUAAACGGCGGCCGUAACUAUAACGGUCCUAAGGUAGCGAAAUUCCUUGUCGGGUAAGUUCCGACCUGCACGAAUGGCGUAAUGAUGGCCAGGCUGUCUCCACCCGAGACUCAGUGAAAUUGAACUCGCUGUGAAGAUGCAGUGUACCCGCGGCAAGACGGAAAGACCCCGUGAACCUUUACUAUAGCUUGACACUGAACAUUGAGCCUUGAUGUGUAGGAUAGGUGGGAGGCUUUGAAGUGUGGACGCCAGUCUGCAUGGAGCCGACCUUGAAAUACCACCCUUUAAUGUUUGAUGUUCUAACGUUGACCCGUAAUCCGGGUUGCGGACAGUGUCUGGUGGGUAGUUUGACUGGGGCGGUCUCCUCCUAAAGAGUAACGGAGGAGCACGAAGGUUGGCUAAUCCUGGUCGGACAUCAGGAGGUUAGUGCAAUGGCAUAAGCCAGCUUGACUGCGAGCGUGACGGCGCGAGCAGGUGCGAAAGCAGGUCAUAGUGAUCCGGUGGUUCUGAAUGGAAGGGCCAUCGCUCAACGGAUAAAAGGUACUCCGGGGAUAACAGGCUGAUACCGCCCAAGAGUUCAUAUCGACGGCGGUGUUUGGCACCUCGAUGUCGGCUCAUCACAUCCUGGGGCUGAAGUAGGUCCCAAGG